UACGUAGGGGGGCUAGCGUUGUCCGGAAUCAUUGGGCGUAAAGCGCGUGUAGGUGGUUCGGUAAGUCCGCUGUGAAAGUCGGGGGCUCAACCCUCGAAUGCCGGUGGAUACUGUCGGACUAGAGUACGGAAGAGGCGAGUGGAAUUCCUGGUGUAGCGGUGAAAUGCGCAGAUAUCAGGAGGAACACCAAUUGCGAAGGCAGCUCGCUGGGACGUUACUGACGCUGAGACGCGAAAGCGUGGGGAGCAAACAGG
rnacentral:rRNA from 1 species